rnacentral:rRNA from 1 species
GAUGAACGCUGGCGGCGUGCUUAACACAUGCAAGUCGAACGGUGAAGGCGGAGCUUGCUCUGCUGGAUCAGUGGCGAACGGGUGAGUAACACGUGAGCAAUCUGCCCCUGACUCUGGGAUAAGCGCUGGAAACGGCGUCUAAUACUGGAUACGAGCUGCGAAGGCAUCUUCAGCAGCUGGAAAGAAUUUCGGUCAGGGAUGAGCUCGCGGCCUAUCAGCUUGUUGGUGAGGUAAUGGCUCACCAAGGCGUCGACGGGUAGCCGGCCUGAGAGGGUGACCGGGGACAAGGGGACUGAGAGACGGACCAGACGCGUACGGUGGACAGUGGGGGGGAACAUUGCACAAUGGGAGAAAGCCUGAUGCAGCAACGUCGCGUGAGGGACGACGGCCUUCGGGGUGAAAACCUCUGUUGGCAGGGAAGAAGCUAAAGUGACGGUACCUGCAGAAAAAGCGCCGGCUAACUACGUG